rnacentral:siRNA from 1 species
CUGGUGUUGGACGAGUUCCACUA